CAAUUUAAACAACGAAGAGUUUGAUCCUGGCUCAGGAUGAACGCUAGCGACAGGCUUAACACAUGCAAGUCGAGGGGCAGCACAGGUAGCAAUACCGGGUGGCGACCGGCGCACGGGUGAGUAACGCGUAUGCAACUUACCUAUCAGAGGGGGAUAACCCGGCGAAAGUCGGACUAAUACCGCAUGAAGCAGGGGCCCCGCAUGGGGAUAUUUGCUAAAGAUUCAUCGCUGAUAGAUAGGCAUGCGUUCCAUUAGGCAGUUGGCGGGGUAACGGCCCACCAAACCGACGAUGGAUAGGGGUUCUGAGAGGAAGGUCCCCCACAUUGGUACUGAGACACGGACCAAACUCCUACGGGAGGCAGCAGUGAGGAAUAUUGGUCAAUGGCCGAGAGGCUGAACCAGCCAAGUCGCGUGAGGGAUGAAGGUUCUAUGGAUCGUAAACCUCUUUUAUAAGGGAAUAAAGUGCGGGACGUGUCCCGUUUUGUAUGUACCUUAUGAAUAAGGAUCGGCUAACUCCGUGCCAGCAGCCGCGGUAAUACGGAGGAUCCGAGCGUUAUCCGGAUUUAUUGGGUUUAAAGGGUGCGUAGGCGGCCUUUUAAGUCAGCGGUGAAAGUCUGUGGCUCAACCAUAGAAUUGCCGUUGAAACUGGGGGGCUUGAGUAUGUUUGAGGCAGGCGGAAUGCGUGGUGUAGCGGUGAAAUGCAUAGAUAUCACGCAGAACCCCGAUUGCGAAGGCAGCCUGCCAAGCCAUGACUGACGCUGAUGCACGAAAGCGUGGGGAUCAAACAGGAUUAGAUACCCUGGUAGUCCACGCAGUAAACGAUGAUCACUAGCUGUUUGCGAUACACUGUAAGCGGCACAGCGAAAGCGUUAAGUGAUCCACCUGGGGAGUACGCCGGCAACGGUGAAACUCAAAGGAAUUGACGGGGGCCCGCACAAGCGGAGGAACAUGUGGUUUAAUUCGAUGAUACGCGAGGAACCUUACCCGGGUUUGAACGCAUUCGGACCGAGGUGGAAACACCUUUUCUAGCAAUAGCCGUUUGCGAGGUGCUGCAUGGUUGUCGUCAGCUCGUGCCGUGAGGUGUCGGCUUAAGUGCCAUAACGAGCGCAACCCUUGCCACUAGUUACUAACAGGUAAAGCUGAGGACUCUGGUGGGACUGCCAGCGUAAGCUGCGAGGAAGGCGGGGAUGACGUCAAAUCAGCACGGCCCUUACAUCCGGGGCGACACACGUGUUACAAUGGCGUGGACAAAGGGAGGCCACCUGGUGACAGGGAGCGAAUCCCCAAACCACGUCUCAGUUCGGAUCGGAGUCUGCAACCCGACUCCGUGAAGCUGGAUUCGCUAGUAAUCGCGCAUCAGCCAUGGCGCGGUGAAUACGUUCCCGGGCCUUGUACACACCGCCCGUCAAGCCAUGGGAGCCGGGGGUACCUGAAGUCCGUAACCGCGAGGAUCGGCCUAGGGUAAAACUGGUGACUGGGGCUAAGUCGUAACAAGGUAGCCGUACCGGAAGGUGCGGCUGGAACACCUCCUUUCU
rnacentral:rRNA from 2 species